rnacentral:rRNA from 1 species
AACGAACGCUGGCGGCAUGCCUAACACAUGCAAGUCGAACGAGACCUUCGGGUCUAGUGGCGCACGGGUGCAUAACGCGUGGGAACCUGCCCUUAGGUUCGGAAUAACUCCCCGAAAGGGGUGCUAAUACCGGAUAAUGUCUUCGGACCAAAGAUUUAUCGCCUUUGGAUGGGCCCGCGUUGGAUUAGCUAGUUGGUAGGGUAAAAGCCUACCAAGGCGACGAUCCAUAGCUGGUCUGAGAGGAUGAUCAGCCACACUGGGACUGAGACACGGCCCAGACUCCUACGGGAGGCAGCAGUGGGGAAUAUUGGACAAUGGGCGAAAGCCUGAUCCAGCAAUGCCGCGUGAGUGAUGAAGGCCUUAGGGUUGUAAAGCUCUUUUAACCGGGAUGAUAAUGACAGUACCGGGAGAAUAAGCUCCGGCUAACUCCGUG